rnacentral:rRNA from 1 species
CACGUAGGGUGCGAGCGUUGUCCGGAAUUAUUGGGCGUAAAGAGCUCGUAGGCGGUGUGUCGCGUCGGCCGUGAAAACUUGGGGCUUAACUCUGAGCGUGCGGUCGAUACGGGCAUCACUUGAGUUCGGCAGGGGAGACCGGAAUUCCUGGUGUAGCGGUGAAAUGCGCAGAUAUCAGGAGGAACACCGGUGGCGAAGGCGGGUCUCUGGGCCGAUACUGACGCUGAGGAGCGAAAGCAUGGGGAGCGAACAGG